CGCGCCCGCGCCGGCGCCCACCCCGAGCUGCCUGCCGAGCACUCCACUGACACACUCCCAGUGAGGCUGCCGCCGCCGCAGCCGCAGGCAGAUCUGACACGCUCCGCGCCGGCCGCCCGGGCCCCGCCCAAAGCCUGCGCCUGCCUGCCUGCCUCUCUACUACUGCGGCUGCACGGCAGCAGCAGCAGCAAGCCAGCGAGCAGCGAGCGCCGGCACGAGCUGGCGGCGUCUGCGUGCGUCUCCCCCUCCUGCCGCGCGUGACG
rnacentral:lncRNA from 1 species